GCUCAGAGUGAACGCUGGCGGUAGGCCUAACACAUGCAAGUCGAACGGCAGCACAGGAGAGCUUGCUCUCUGGGUGGCGAGUGGCGGACGGGUGAGGAAUACAUCGGAAUCUACCUUUUCGUGGGGGAUAACGUAGGGAAACUUACGCUAAUACCGCAUACGACCUUCGGGUGAAAGCAGGGGACCUUCGGGCCUUGCGCGGAUAGAUGAGCCGAUGUCGGAUUAGCUAGUUGGCGGGGUAAAGGCCCACCAAGGCGACGAUCCGUAGCUGGUCUGAGAGGAUGAUCAGCCACACUGGAACUGAGACACGGUCCAGACUCCUACGGGAGGCAGCAGUGGGGAAUAUUGGACAAUGGGCGCAAGCCUGAUCCAGCCAUACCGCGUGGGUGAAGAAGGCCUUCGGGUUGUAAAGCCCUUUUGUUGGGAAAGAAAAGCAGCCAGUUAAUACCUGGUUGUUCUGACGGUACCCAAAGAAUAAGCACCGGCUAACUUCGUGCCAGCAGCCGCGGUAAUACGAAGGGUGCAAGCGUUACUCGGAAUUACUGGGCGUAAAGCGUGCGUAGGUGGUUGUUUAAGUCUGUUGUGAAAGCCCUGGGCUCAACCUGGGAAUUGCAGUGGAUACUGGACGACUAGAGUGUGGUAGAGGGUAGUGGAAUUCCUGGUGUAGCAGUGAAAUGCGUAGAGAUCAGGAGGAACAUCCAUGGCGAAGGCAGCUACCUGGACCAACACUGACACU
rnacentral:rRNA from 1 species